GUUAAGAGCUAAAAUUUAUUGAUUAAUAGCCUAGAGAAAACAGUUAAAAUACUCGCUCAUACUUCCAGAUAGUGCGAACUUAAAAGUAGAUACUAUCUUUGAAACUACGGGAACAUGCGUAAAAUUAACUAAACCUAAGACAAACACAUUUAGAACAGCAUUCCCAUCACCGAUCUAUAAGCUAAACGAAUAAGGAAAACGAACACAAUCGAGGCACUAAACGUAAGUUUAUCAAUUUUCUCUUAAAUUACAACUAAAAUUAUGAAACGGGAUAGUAUCACUCCUGAAAUACAAAUUGAAAAGUCUUAGCA